GACGAACGCUGGCGGCGUGCUUAACACAUGCAAGUCGAACGGAAAGGCCCUGCUUUUGUGGGGUGCUCGAGUGGCGAACGGGUGAGUAACACGUGAGUAACCUGCCCUUGACUUUGGGAUAACUUCAGGAAACUGGGGCUAAUACCGGAUAGGAGCUCCUGCUGCAUGGUGGGGGUUGGAAAGUUUCGGCGGUUGGGGAUGGACUCGCGGCUUAUCAGCUUGUUGGUGGGGUAGUGGCUUACCAAGGCUUUGACGGGUAGCCGGCCUGAGAGGGUGACCGGCCACAUUGGGACUGAGAUACGGCCCAGACUCCGACGGGAGGCAGCAGUGGGGAUUAUUGCACAAUGGGCGGAAGCCUGAUGCAGCAACGCCGCGUGCGGGAUGACGGCCUUCGGGUUGUAAACCGCUUUCGCCUGUGACGAAGCGUGAGUGACGGUAAUGGGUAAAGAAGCACCGGCUAACUACGUG
rnacentral:rRNA from 1 species